AAUAAUUACAUGAUUUGAUGAAAUAGCAAAUCUUUUCAUUCAUGUUCCUGAACCAAAUUUUGAGCUUUUAUAUUUUUAUCCUUUAAGCUCUGAUCAAAUAGUUCAAUAUUAUCCAUACCCCAUUCCUAGUCGAUUUGCUUACUGUGUUUCGGUGUGGGGCAAUACGUAUUUUUCACAAUUGUUUCCUCUCCAAAACCAAGUAACUCAUCACAUUUAGUGCGUUUCAUUCCCUUGCUACAACUCACUGCAUGCAUCCGUGAUUUGCUUCUAGAAUAUGCUUCUAUCAUAUGGCAUCCUCACCUGACAGGUCUUACUAACAUGCUCGAAAUGGUACAGAACAAAGCUGCGUGGUUACGUCAUCCUAUUCACGUUUCAUAAGCGUUUCAUCACUAAAAGCUGAACUUAAUCUAGCUACGCUUGUCAUGCGCAGGCGAUAUGCUCGACUAUCGUUUUUUUACUCACUUUACCACAGCAACGCAACGUUCGCCCAAUCGGACAUUUUUCCAGCCCCUCAUACUUCAACCUGUCUCGAUCAUGCGCACAAAGUAUCGCCCAUUUUCGCCCGGACGAAGAAGUACCAAAAUUCGCCUUUAGUAUUAUGCAUUAACAAAUGGAACUCCCUGCCGCCCAACAUCGCCAAGAUAUCAGAUGCUUCAAUGUUUCACUCAGCGCUACUGGGCUAUUUACAAAAUGGAAAACAUUCCUAACCUGUAUCUGCCUGUCUUUGUUUGAUAUACGGUAUUUGUACGCUAUAUGUAUGCAGUGUUCUUUCCAAUGUAUUGAUGAUCAGUGGUUUAAUGGCCAUGUAACAAAUCGCUCUGUACUCGUUAUCGAUGUAUUUCGUAGAUUAUUUUUUUAAUCUAUACUAUUCUGGACACCUUGGUUCAAAUUAACUUCCUGUUUCUUUUUUUCUUGUUUUGUUGUAAGUAUUGUUGUCUUCAAUUCAUAUUGUUUAUACAUUAUAUUUAUGUACUCACCUGAAAUCCCCCCCUAUGUAAUGCCCACUAGGACCUUUAGGGUAUUGAAAUAAAAGAAAUUUCUUCCUCAUUGCCAGCUGUUUAUUCUAAAAAUGUUGGUUGUCAUCUAUAAAAUAAUUCACCAUGAUGCACAUAUUACAUAGUUUUACCUUUAGCUCCCUCCACAACACCGUUACCAGAUUCUCUCAGCUACAAAAUGUUCUCCAAAAGCUGUAUGCUUUUAAUGAUUCUGAAGAGGCAAGAAAUGUGGUGAAACACAGUGGGCACAGCCAAAAGCAGACAAGACAAAGGGAUGUAGACACAAACAGCACUGCUUCUAUCCAUCUCAUCUACUUCGCACUGUACCCACAGUCAUGAAUAACCAACAAGCCCAACUUUCUACACUUCUAUAGCGCUCGCUGUAGUCUCUAGGCUUAGAAUACAUGCAGACGUUAACGAGUGUCUACUGUACUUGAUCAAACUGUUUCCCCAUGUGAAAUUGUUGUCAACAGGGGAAUAUCGUGAAAAUGUGGCAGCAAUCCAGCCAGCUGUGACUAAUGUGCUGAAGAGCAUGCUGGAUGAAGCUUUCUCUGCCAUAGUCUCAGAAACAGCUGGGCAUAGGUAGCCAAAGGAACUACUUUGACAAGCCUAGUCAUUAGUUUGUAAGCUCAAUAAAUUAUUCUUUGCAAGAAUCUCGAUUAUUAUUAUUAGAACUGAUAGUGUGCUUGCUUCCUGUGUGGUGAGGCUACUUAUGGUGGCUAGGGCAUUAGUGUCAAUGUGUUCGACAAAGUUUGCAUGGACUUACCAGGAGC